rnacentral:lncRNA from 1 species
AUGAUUAUUAGUUGCGUUGAGUCAUCAGGCAAAACUGUCAAACAUCAAAGUUUAGAAAAUGGAUCAGAAACUGUCAAACUACCACUGACUUCACCUCUACCCAUGCCAUGUCGGACUUCCAAGGAUGGCCUGGAUGCUUGGAAGAUGCCCAUUCAUUCUCGCCCAGUCUGCUGGCAGAUGGUGCUGCCGCAGCCUGAUUCAAACAGAACCGUGUCUGUGAGGCCUUUCCUGUCAGAGAUCUACCAGGAGAAGCAAACACACUGGGCACACCUUCCAAAGCAAGAGAUCCGCGCCUUAUAAAGGUUCACAGAGGAGUCCAGCAGACCUGGCCAUGGAUACCUGCGGCUCUACCGUCUGAUUUCCUUAUGCACACAAUGGAAGACACAAUUCAACUCCAUCAGAGGAAAAUGCUGGCCCAAAGACUCAUGCAUGCAAAGAGAUUAUUAUGUACCUGAUUAAUGUAAGAUCCCCAUAAUGAUACUAUAUUGCUAAAUCUAAGUUAAUAGACUAAUUUAUAUCUAUCCCAAAUAUUGGAGACAUAAAUCAUUUUUAGAGAGUGUAUACCCAAAUAUUACUGACCCAGGUGGCCUCAUAGCAUCUUAUCAGACGGCUGUCUACUCAAUAUAAAAAAAGUACUUAGCUGAUUGGUUUCCAUUUGGAGUGCAAUCUUAUUUUUUAACUUAACGAUACCUUAAGGUGUUAUUUAAAAAAAAAAUAGACUGGAUUGUAAAUGCAAUGCAAAAUUUAAGCUAUUUUGUUGUUGUUUUCUUGUCUGUUUUUUUUAAAAACAGUUUAACUUCUCACUAAUUUUAUUGUAUUGCUAUAGGCCUAGUAAAGCCUCCUGCAAAUGUAACUGUAAAAGUGGAGGCUACAGGCUGGCACUUAGCCCACGGGUGGCACUGUGGUAGCCCUCCACAUUUUUGCAUGUUUCUUUCUGUAAUCCUCUUUAGAAUUAAGGUCAGACUUCAGACAUCAAACCAUCCUAGAGUACUUUAUUAUGAUCUUGGUUGGUGGAAAAUGUGUAUUUCUCCUUAAAGCACACCUGAAAAGUGUAAGACUUUAGCAGCCAAUGAAAAUUGUUCUUAGUUGCAAUAGCUUAGCUAAGUGUGUGCUUUGCAGUUUGUGCUAGAAUCCUAAUUUAUGAUUUUGUAGUCAUUUACCAAAUGGAAAGUGGUAACACAUUUAGGGUUCAGACAUGAAACAUCUUAUAAGUGACUUAAAAUAGUAAAGUAUCUGGGGAAAGAGGCCCUCUUUUCUUCUUUCCCUCCAACUUUUCUAAAAAAAGAAGAAAUACAAUCACAUUAAUUUCUUAAGAAAAAAAACUAUUUAUGGCAAAUUUUUUUGGUAAGGGGAUGUAACAACUAGAGCCUUCAGCCCCUGCUGGUGAGGUUUUAAGUUGGGACAGUCAUUUUUGAAAAUUGUUGAGCAAUCUCUAGUAAGUUGAAACACACAUAUUUUAUGACUCAGCAACUCCUCACCAGUAAUGAUACCUAUAUUCAAUGAAAUGCAUUAAAAUGUCUCCUUUAUGCAUAACAAACAAGGGCUGUAAGCAACUCAAAAAACCAGCAGUUGACUAGCUAAAUAAAUUGUAGUAUUUAUACA